UGGGUGUGAUUCCGGUUGAGGCCGAUUAUUCUCCCGGCGACGUACUACAGGAAAUGCCGGUAGUGAAAGACGCUGAUUUGACCGGUAAUGCGUCGCUCGGUUUUACUAUAGACCGGGAAAGGAACCGGGUUUUAGUCGCCGUCGCAGAUGUUUUGGGGAAUCGGUAUAGCGCUUUGGCUGCCUAUGAUUUGACAUUGUGGAACCGGGUUUUUCUCACCAAACUUAGCGGUCCAGAGGAUGAAAAAGCAUUUGCGGAUGAUGUGGUGGUUGAUACAGAAGGGAAUGCAUAUAUAACAGAUGCAAAAGCAGACAAGAUAUGGAAGGUAGGCGCGAAUGGUGAACUUAAAUAUACAAUCAAGAACUCAAUAUUUACUCCUAAAGAGUGGUACAAUAAACUGGUUGGGCUAAACGGAAUAGUGUAUCAUCCAAACGGAUACUUACUGGUGGCUCAUACAUUCUCUGGCAAUUUGUUCAAGAUUGAAAUCGCCAAAGGUGAUGAAGUUAAACUAGUAAAGAUUGACUAUGGAUCGUUGAAAUUUGGCGAUGGCAUGGAGUUACUAUCUCCAACCAAGCUUGUUGUGGCUGGAAAUCCGACAAGACUAGUUGAGAGCUCUGAUGAUUGGGAGAGUGGCACUAUUGUGGGGAAGGCCAAAG
rnacentral:misc_RNA from 1 species